rnacentral:rRNA from 1 species
ACCCGCACAAGCGGUGGAUGGUGUGGAUUAAUUCGAUGCAACGCGAAGAACCUUACCUACCCUUGACAUGUCCGGAACUUGCCAGAGAUGGCUUGGUGCCCGAAAGGGAAUCGGAACACAGGUGCUGCAUGGCUGUCGUCAGCUCGUGUCGUGAGAUGUUGGGUUAAGUCCCGCAACGAGCGCAACCCUUAUCAUUAGUUGCUACGCAAGGGCACUCUAAUGAGACUGCCGGUGACAAACCGGAGGAAGGUGGGAUGACGUCAAGUCCUCAUGGCCCUUAUGGGUAGGGCUUCACACGUCAUACAAUGGUCGGUACAAUAGGUUGCCAAGCCGCGAGGCGGAGCCAAUCCAUAAAAGCCGCUCUCAGUUCGGAUUGCAGGCUGCAACUCGCCUGCAUGAAGCCGGAAUCGCUAGUAAUCGCGGAUCAGCAUGCCGCGGUCGAAUACGUUCCCGGGCCUU